GGUUCCGAACGCGCCAAAUUGCAAAUUUGGCCCCGCCGCGGAGAGCGGCCGGAACUU
rnacentral:tRNA from 1 species